GCCGAUGAUAGUGCGGAUUCCCGUGUGAAAGUAGGUAAUCGUCAGGC
rnacentral:rRNA from 1 species